rnacentral:rRNA from 1 species
UACGUAGGGUGCGAGCGUUGUCCGGAAUCAUUGGGCGUAAAGGGCGCGUAGGCGGCUUCAUAAGUCUUGGGUGAAAGCCCUCGGCUCAACCGAGGAAUUGCCUUGGAUACUGUCGAGCUCGAGUCCGGAAGAGGCGAGUGGAAUUCCUGGUGUAGCGGUGAAAUGCGCAGAUAUCAGGAGGAACACCGGUGGCGAAGGCGGUUCUCUGGGCAUUACCUGACGCUGAGGAGCGAAAGUGUGGGGAGCGAACAGG